GGAGUUAAGAAAUGUAGACUCGCUAAUAUCGGGUCUAUUUGACAAAGGCUCCAAAGGAAGCCACGGCUAACUCUGUGCCAGCAGCCGCGGUAAUACAGAGGUGGCAAGCGUUGUUCGGAAUUAUUGGGCGUAAAGAGCACGUAGGUGGAUUUGUAAGUCAGACGUGAAAGCCUUCUGUUCAACGGAAGAAUUGCAUCUGAAACUACAAACCUUGAGUGUAGGAGGGGAGAGUGGAACUUCUGGU
rnacentral:rRNA from 1 species